rnacentral:rRNA from 1 species
UCUCCUGGAAAACGGGUGGUAAUACCGGAUGCUCCGCUCCAUCGCAUGGUGGGGUGGGAAAUGCUUUUGCGGCAUGGGAUGGGGUCGCGUCCUAUCAGCUUGUUGGCGGGGUGAUGGCCCACCAAGGCGUUGACGGGUAGCCGGCCUGAGAGGGUGACCGGCCACAUUGGGACUGAGAUACGGCCCAGACUCCUACGGGAGGCAGCAGUGGGGAAUAUUGCACAAUGGGCGCAAGCCUGAUGCAGCGACGCCGCGUGCGGGAUGGAGGCCUUCGGGUUGUAAACCGCUUUUGUUCAAGGGCAAGGCACGGUUUCGGCCGUGUUGAGUGGAUUGUUCGAAUAAGCACCGGCUAACUACGUGCCAGCAGCCGCGGUAAUACGUAGGGUGCGAGCGUUAUCCGGAUUUAUUGGGCGUAAAGGGCUCGUAGGCGGUUCGUCGCGUCCGGUGUGAAAGUCCAUCGCCUAACGGUGGAUCUGCGCCGGGUACGGGCGGGCUGGAGUGCGGUAGGGGAGACUGGAAUUCCCGGUGUAACGGUGGAAUGUGUAGAUAUCGGAAAGAAACACCA